GACGAACGCUGGCGGCGUGCCUAAUACAUGCAAGUAGAACGCUGAAGAGAGGAGCUUGCUCUUCUUGGAUGAGUUGCGAACGGGUGAGUAACGCGUAGGUAACCUGCCUUGUAGCGGGGGAUAACUAUUGGAAACGAUAGCUAAUACCGCAUAACAAUGGAUGACACAUGUCAUUUAUUUGAAAGGGGCAAUUGCUCCACUACAAGAUGGACCUGCGUUGUAUUAGCUAGUAGGUGAGGUAAUGGCUCACCUAGGCGACGAUACAUAGCCGACCUGAGAGGGUGAUCGGCCACACUGGGACUGAGACACGGCCCAGACUCCUACGGGAGGCAGCAGUAGGGAAUCUUCGGCAAUGGGGGCAACCCUGACCGAGCAACGCCGCGGGAGUGAAGAAGGGUUUCGGAUCGUAAAGCUCUGUUGUAAGUCAAGAACGGGUGUGAGAGUGGAAAGUUCACACUGUGACGGUAGCUUACCAGAAAGAGACGGCUAACUACGUG
rnacentral:rRNA from 1 species